rnacentral:rRNA from 1 species
GGGUUGUGAGGUUAAGCGACUAAGCGUACACGGUGGAUGCCCUGGCAGUCAGAGGCGAUGAAGGACGUGCUAAUCUGCGAUAAGCGUCGGUGAGGUGAUAUGAACCGUUAUAACCGGCGAUUUCCGAAUGGGGAAACCCAGUGUGUUUCGACACACUAUCAUUAACUGAAUCCAUAGGUUAAUGAGGCGAACCGGGGGAACUGAAACAUCUAAGUACCCCGAGGAAAAGAAAUCAACCGAGAUUCCCCCAGUAGCGGCGAGCGAACGGGGAGGAGCCCAGAGCCUGAAUCAGUGUGUGUGUUAGUGGAAGCGUCUGGAAAGGCGCGCGAUACAGGGUGACAGCCCCGUACACAAAAAUGCACAUGCUGUGAGCUCGAUGAGUAGGGCGGGACACGUGGUAUCCUGUCUGAAUAUGGGGGGACCAUCCUCCAAGGCUAAAUACUCCUGACUGACCGAUAGUGAACCAGUACCGUGAGGGAAAGGCGAAAAGAACCCCGGCGAGGGGAGUGAAAAAGAACCUGAAACCGUGUACGUACAAGCAGUGGGAGCCUCUUAAUGGGGUGACUGCGUACCUUUUGUAUAAUGGGUCAGCGACUUAUAUUCUGUAGCAAGGUUAACCGAAUAGGGGAGCCGAAGGGAAACCGAGUCUUAACUGGGCGUUAAGUUGCAGGGUAUAGACCCGAAACCCGGUGAUCUAGCCAUGGGCAGGUUGAAGGUUGGGUAACACUAACUGGAGGACCGAACCGACUAAUGUUGAAAAAUUAGCGGAUGACUUGUGGCUGGGGGUGAAAGGCCAAUCAAACCGGGAGAUAGCUGGUUCUCCCCGAAAGCUAUUUAGGUAGCGCCUCGUGAAUUCAUCUCCGGGGGUAGAGCACUGUUUCGGCAAGGGGGUCAUCCCGACUUACCAACCCGAUGCAAACUGCGAAUACCGGAGAAUGUUAUCACGGGAGACACACGGCGGGUGCUAACGUCCGUCGUGAAGAGGGAAACAACCCAGACCGCCAGCUAAGGUCCCAAAGUCAUGGUUAAGUGGGAAACGAUGUGGGAAGGCCCAGACAGCCAGGAUGUUGGCUUAGAAGCAGCCAUCAUUUAAAGAAAGCGUAAUAGCUCACUGGUCGAGUCGGCCUGCGCGGAAGAUGUAACGGGGCUAAACCAUGCACCGAAGCUGCGGCAGCGACGCUUAUGCGUUGUUGGGUAGGGGAGCGUUCUGUAAGCCUGUGAAGGUGUGCUGUGAGGCAUGCUGGAGGUAUCAGAAGUGCGAAUGCUGACAUAAGUAACGAUAAAGCGGGUGAAAAGCCCGCUCGCCGGAAGACCAAGGGUUCCUGUCCAACGUUAAUCGGGGCAGGGUGAGUCGACCCCUAAGGCGAGGCCGAAAGGCGUAGUCGAUGGGAAACAGGUUAAUAUUCCUGUACUUGGUGUUACUGCGAAGGGGGGACGGAGAAGGCUAUGUUGGCCGGGCGACGGUUGUCCCGGUUUAAGCGUGUAGGCUGGUUUUCCAGGCAAAUCCGGAAAACCAAGGCUGAGGCGUGAUGACGAGGCACUACGGUGCUGAAGCGACAAAUGCCCUGCUUCCAGGAAAAGCCUCUAAGCAUCAGGUAACAUCAAAUCGUACCCCAAACCGACACAGGUGGUCAGGUAGAGAAUACCAAGGCGCUUGAGAGAACUCGGGUGAAGGAACUAGGCAAAAUGGUGCCGUAACUUCGGGAGAAGGCACGCUGAUAUGUAGGUGAAGCGACUUGCUCGUGGAGCUGAAAUCAGUCGAAGAUACCAGCUGGCUGCAACUGUUUAUUAAAAACACAGCACUGUGCAAACACGAAAGUGGACGUAUACGGUGUGACGCCUGCCCGGUGCCGGAAGGUUAAUUGAUGGGGUUAGCGGUAACGCGAAGCUCUUGAUCGAAGCCCCGGUAAACGGCGGCCGUAACUAUAACGGUCCUAAGGUAGCGAAAUUCCUUGUCGGGUAAGUUCCGACCUGCACGAAUGGCGUAAUGAUGGCCAGGCUGUCUCCACCCGAGACUCAGUGAAAUUGAACUCGCUGUGAAGAUGCAGUGUACCCGCGGCAAGACGGAAAGACCCCGUGAACCUUUACUAUAGCUUGACACUGAACAUUGAGCCUUGAUGUGUAGGAUAGGUGGGAGGCUUUGAAGUGUGGACGCCAGUCUGCAUGGAGCCGACCUUGAAAUACCACCCUUUAAUGUUUGAUGUUCUAACGUUGGCCCGUAAUCCGGGUUGCGGACAGUGUCUGGUGGGUAGUUUGACUGGGGCGGUCUCCUCCUAAAGAGUAACGGAGGAGCACGAAGGUUGGCUAAUCCUGGUCGGACAUCAGGAGGUUAGUGCAAUGGCAUAAGCCAGCUUGACUGCGAGCGUGACGGCGCGAGCAGGUGCGAAAGCAGGUCAUAGUGAUCCGGUGGUUCUGAAUGGAAGGGCCAUCGCUCAACGGAUAAAAGGUACUCCGGGGAUAACAGGCUGAUACCGCCCAAGAGUUCAUAUCGACGGCGGUGUUUGGCACCUCGAUGUCGGCUCAUCACAUCCUGGGGCUGAAGUAGGUCCCAAGGGUAUGGCUGUUCGCCAUUUAAAGUGGUACGCGAGCUGGGUUUAGAACGUCGUGAGACAGUUCGGUCCCUAUCUGCCGUGGGCGCUGGAGAACUGAGGGGGGCUGCUCCUAGUACGAGAGGACCGGAGUGGACGCAUCACUGGUGUUCGGGUUGUCAUGCCAAUGGCACUGCCCGGUAGCUAAAUGCGGAAGAGAUAAGUGCUGAAAGCAUCUAAGCACGAAACUUGCCCCGAGAUGAGUUCUCCCUGACUCCUUGAGAGUCCUGAAGGAACGUUGAAGACGACGACGUUGAUAGGCCGGGUGUGUAAGCGCAGCGAUGCGUUGAGCUAACCGGUACUAAUGAACCGUGAGGCUUAACCUUACAACGCCGAAG